UACGGGGGGGGCAAGCGUGGUUCGGAAUUACUGGGCGUAAAGGGCUCGUAGGUGGCCAACUAAGUCAGACGUGAAAUCCCCAGGCUUAACCUGGGAACUGCGUCUGAUACUGGAUGGCUAGAGUUUGGGAGAGGGAUGCGGAAUUCCAGGUGUAGCGGUGAAAUGCGUAGAUAUCUGGAGGAACACCGGUGGCGAAGGCGGCAUCCUGGACCAACACUGACGCUGAGGAGCGAAAGUGUGGGGGGCGAACAGG
rnacentral:rRNA from 1 species